GAUCCUGGCUCAGGAUGAACGCUGGCGGCGUGCUUAACACAUUCAAGUCGAACGGAGUCUUUUUGGAAGCUUGCUUCCGGGAAGACUUAGUGGCGGACGGGUGAGUAAUGCAUGAGCAACCUGCCUUCAGGAGGGGGAUAACAUCGGGAAACCGGUGCUAAUACCGCAUAGAGCAUUUUGCAGGCAUCUGAGAGAUGGGAAAGGAGCAAUCCGCCUGGAGAUGGGCUC
rnacentral:rRNA from 1 species